GUGAAUCAUCAAAUCUUUGAACGCAAAUUGCACUCUCCUCGGAGAGUAUGCCUGUUUGAGGGUCAGCCUAUAAAAAAUCGACAUCGUUGCGGUUUCGCGUUGGCGUGCGUCGGAGAUUUGUGCAUCUUUAAUCUUUUGGUUGUAAGCGACUUAAAAUUUUCUUUUUGGUUCCAUGAAGUUUUCUAAAAUUUAUUUCUUUAUACAUGUAAGUUAUUGAUUUUUAUUAAACGUGAACAUCUUAUCG
rnacentral:misc_RNA from 1 species